GGUAUGGUUCUUAAGCACCCAGAA
rnacentral:piRNA from 2 species